UCUACUAUCGAGAAUGUCUCUGAUGGGAUAUAGGUAUAAGUGUCCCUUAGACCUGAGAUCACCUCAGUGACUUGCGAGCAACUCACUGUGCUUUGGCACUGGACUAACUGAAUUUCUAAUUCAGUGAUGGAAGAUUUCUGGGCACAGUCAAGUACUUGUGAAGUCAGAGUGUGAUCAAGAUGGGAUUGACCACUCCAAGAGUUGGAGAAGAAUGAGUCACUGUAUUUUAAUUUAGCAAAACUUUGGCUAGGGUAAUCCAUCAGAUGGAUUUGAUAUUUUGAAAUACAAUGU
rnacentral:lncRNA from 1 species